GAGCAUAACGUGAGAGAAAGAGAGAAAGUAAGGAAAAACAAUAAGGAAGUUGAGAAAAUAACUUUAUAAACUUGCAAGUUCAACCUAUAAAACACUAAAUCAAGUGAAGGAAGGAGGAUUUGAGAAGGGGAAUUCAGCUAACUUUGGAAGAGAAGAGAAAUUGGAAGAAAAGCAAUAGGAGUUGUGUCUGGAGCUGGUUAUCAGACAGGAGGAGCUGGGUCAUCCCGAGCAGAAGGUACACCGCGAGGUGAUGCAGAUCGUUAGAUGUAGGAAUUCUCCUGUUUAUAUUUUGGAAUGUAAUUGUCAUGUCUUUACUUUGAAUGUAAAUCC